UACGUAGGGGGGCAAGCGUUUGUCCGGGAUUUAUUGGGCGUAAAGAGCGUGUAGGCGGCUUUACAGGUCCGUUGUGAAAACUCGAGGCUCAACCUCGAGACGCCGGUGGAAACCGUAAGGCUAGAGUCCGGAAGAGGAGAGUGGAAUUCCUGGUGUAGCGGUGAAAUGCGCAGAUAUCAGGAAGAACACCCGUGGCGAAGGCGGCUCUCUGGGACGGUACUGACGCUGAGACGCGAAAAGCGUGGGGAGCGAACAGG
rnacentral:rRNA from 1 species